GUCCUUGUUUCCCAGCCACCACCAGACCCGUGGCUGGCGAGGGGCUGUGAGGACGAGACGGCGGCUGGCUAAGAUGCGCUGAUUCCUCUGGUGGGAGGUGACGCGGGGAAAUAAUGUGCGUAAAAAAGCCAAAGCUACGAGGGACAGAGGCGGGGGAAAAUGGACAGGAUGACAGAGACGGGCGUGAGGGCGGCUGGAGCACAGGUGUAGUUGCCAGCGUGGGCGUGGUUCACUGAGGUGAUGGUAAGGGCGGCUUCACUUCCCCCUGACGCCCUUCUGGUCAACGGCUGCUGUGUCACGCCCUUCCACUUCCCUUCAGAUAGUGUUGUGUUGGAAGUGAUAGCUCUCCGUGUUACUGGUGCUGAUAUUGCUGGCGAAGGUGUUAUCAUGUACCUCAUUCCAAGCGUAUUCUGCGGGGAGACUCAAGCGACGCAGGAGGAGAAAGUGGUUUAGGAAGUGCAGCCAACCUUGGUGGAGAGUGAGGACAGAAGGGUGAAGGGAGAGAGGAAGGUGGAGGAAAGAUGGAGGAAAACGUUAAAGGUUUGGAGUCUUCGCAGGGUUGAGAAAAUGUUGCUAAUUAGUCUCAAACCAGACUUUUCUUCCUCUCCGAACUCGUGAGUGACUUGAAGGAAAGGAAGGAGGAGGAAGAAACCCAAAGUAAGAGGAGAUACUAGGAGAAGGAGGAAGAGGAAGAAGGGGAAAAAAAUCUCUGAAGAGGAAAUGAAGAGAGGGAUAGCGAAGGUGUCUUUUUUUUUAUUUCACGGAAGGAAAUUCGUAUACCCAGAAGAGGGAAAAAUAUUAAAUGACGGAGGUAAUAAAAGAUGGAAAAAUUAGGAGAUGGAAAGAAAAUAAGACGAGAGGCGUGAAAGUUUGCGUUCCUUUCAAAGUACGAAGGCGUUCAGAAAGUUUUGCAAGAUUUAACAAAAGAAUCUGUAAAUUCCUAUCAUAUUUCAGUCUUUUUUUUUUUUUUUUGCAGAUCAUUUUGAUGAAGAAAAAUUUGUAUAACGUUUUUUGAUAUUCUUUCUGGUCAGGUUCCAGUUUCAAAUUCAGUUCAUCACAAUUUUAUUAAGUUCAGUGUCUGGUUACAUAUUUAUUUUUUUCUUGUCAUUUUUCUUCCAUCACAUUCUUUCAUAUUACCUUACAUUCUCCACUUCAAGUUAACAUUUUCCUUUUCCUUGCAUUUUCACAUCUUCCCUAAGGUCCACCUGCCUCAUAUUUACCUGUGUGUUUUGUUUACAAUUACUCUCCCUUCCUCUCUGUCUUGCCUUUCAUAUUUGCUCAUCUUUUAUUUAUCACACAUUACGUAAUUACAUAUAUCCCCACCUACCAAUUACUCCCUUUACUCUGUUCCUGGUUCGUGAAGUCAUCAAUAUACUUAAUUCCACCAAGUCUGCGUCUGCUCCCAUUUAGCAACCCUUCUGACUUGCUUUUUACUCUUCAUUUUUAUUGUAUUAUCAGCCUUCCUUUGUCCCUUCCUUCCCUCCUCCUCUCCCCUUCCCUUUCUUGUACUGAAGCAUCGAUCGAGGUGAUUAGAGAGGAUAAACACUGCACGUCCAUCUUAAUUACACCUGCCUGGAUCAGACUCGCAAAUGUAAGCAAAACAAACACAGGUUAGUUCCCCCUCCUCCUCCUCCUCCUCCUCUGCUCCUCUGCAUACCCCAGUUUGCUUCCUUCCCGUUUUCUUUCGCACGCCUCGCCAGGAAAGGCAAACAUAAGGUGAUGGUUUUGUUGCUACUUAUCUACUCAGUUCAGUGCGAUUUGAAGGGUCUGGUAUUUGUCAUUGUUUGUACGCGGUAGUGGUGGUGGUGGUGGUGGUGGUGGUGGUGUCUGUUUUUGUUUGUUGCUUCUUAUGCUAGUUUUGUUGUUGUUUUUGUUUUCUUUCCUUCUUUCUCUGUCUUUAUUUUUUUCUUUCUUUGGUUGUUGCUGCUGUUGUUGUAAUGUAGUUCUAUUUUUUAUUUUUUUUUUUUUUUGUUCCAUGAGAGUUGUUCACCAUUCCGCCACACAGUUAUUGUCAUUACCUAAUUGUUACAACGAGUACAUAAAAUACUUCCCAAUAAUAAAAUAUAGGAGACGAAAUUCAUGCAUCUUUUAUCCCAGCAUAACACUUCACCUUCAAAACACACACACACACACACACACACACACACACACACACACACACACACACACACACACACACACACACACACACACCUUUGAAAUCCUCCCAGCACUUUGAAUAUCGCUUGCAAUGAUUAGUAGAUACAAUUCUCUCCAGUUUCUUUUCAUUCUUGUUGAAUAAUAAACACUCACGAACAUUUUUCUCUCUGUAACCUUUUCCUAUGAUCUUUUAUUAAAUUCUUUUUUAUUCUUUCUCCUUUUCUUUUAGCUUCGUU